AACGAACGCUGGCGGCAUGCCUAACACAUGCAAGUCGAACGAUGCCUUCGGGCAUUGUGUCGCACGGGUGCGGAACGCGUGGGAAUCUUCAUUUCGGGUCAGAAUAACUCUGAGAAACGUGAGAUAAUACCGGAUCACGUCGCAAGACCAAAAAUUUAUCACCCAAAAAUGUUCCGGAGUGGGAUUAGCUUUUUGUUGAACUAAAGGCUCACCAAGGCGACUAUUCUUAGAUGGUCAGAGAGGAUGGUCAGCGACACUGGGACUAAGACGCGGCCGAGACUCCUACGGGAUGCAGCAGUGGCGGAUAGUGGACCGUCGGGGGAAGCCUGAUCCAGUUAGGACGGGAGAGUGAUGAAGGCCUGAGGGAUGUAAAGCGCUUUUAACCGGGAAGGUCAUGACGGUACCGGGAGAGUAAGCCCCGGCUAACUCCGUG
rnacentral:rRNA from 1 species